ensembl:lncRNA
GUUCGGUCGCUGUCUCCAGACCUUUGCAGAUGGAGCAAUCAUGCAGGGUAACUAAUGACCUAGUUUUGGUUUGGUUCAGAACCUGGCUGUCAGAUGGUGUCAUGAUCUCCGGCUUGUAGAGACUGCUACUGAAGGACAGAAGACAGGGCACUAUGAGCCUGCACCCUCUGCUGCUACUGUUUCUGGGGUCCUCUCACAGUGCAUUCACACAGCUGCCUGAUGCAGUGGAAGAGGAAGGAGGUGUGACAGCGUUUCUACCGGAGCCUGUGGAUGACACGUAUUGGUCAGGCACAGCCCCGAUCUGUGUGAGCGGCUGUAAGGGGAGACACCAGGAGCUGAAGAAGGAUCGCUGCGGGGACUCUGACUGCUGCUGGUUUGGCUACAAGUCUUUUUGCAGAGUGAACUGUGGACGGCCUGGUGUGGACUAUAACGGUGUGGUGUACGGGAAUGACUGGUGGGUGGGCUCAGUGGUCAGAUAUGCCUGCCGCUCUGGCUUCCUGUUGAUCGGGGACCAUGUCGGAGCCUGCCAAUCCGAUGGACGCUGGACCCCAAAACCCUCCUGUCUCAGGGUAUGUCAUCGGGGUCGUGUGGAGAUCACUGAGAAGGAGCUAGAAACAUCUACCUGCUCCUCCACCUGUCCCCUCAAGUCCUACACAGGCCCUCCUAAGCUGGGCUGCUUCCGCAUAGACAAUUGCCAGAAGAUGAAUCCCGACUGGAAGCGCUGGUUUACUCGCUGUGACACCUGCCUGUGUGAUUGCCACAUCGCCUGCGGUGAGUAGGCAUCUUUAGGAUAAAAGGACAAAUUCCUCUGUUGAGUGAUUAGAAUGUUUUCCGGAACAAUCAAGGAAUAACAGUGAACAGCUUAACGUCACAGAUCCUAGAUUCAUCAUCGGAAUACUGGUGGCUCAUCUGAUUUGGGGAGAAGGAUCGAAGAAAAACCUAGAGAUCUCUCCGUGGAACUAUCAGUCUGUCGCAAAAGACUACUAAGGCUCCAACCUCAACAACCUCAGUGGGUUAACGUAAAAAGUGGAGGCUCAUAAUAAACUCCCUGACUAUGUGUCAGACUGACGAAAUGUUGUCAUCACAUCAAUGAGCAGCAGUGACAGACGAAAGGGGAGGUCUCUCCUAGUGUACAGGUUCUGUUGGGAUUAAUGACUCAUCCCUUAAGCCAGCCUGCUCUUUCAACAUGCCCAUGAAACCUGGAAUGAGCUGGUUCCGGCGCUCAGACCAUAAUCCUGUUAUCUACCGGAGUUGUUGGGUGAGCCAGGGUAUUAUCUGACAGCAUGUCAAUUAGAAAUGCUUGGAUGGACAUAAAAACAACAACAAUGUGUUUGUGUGUAUUUUGAAAAUACUUUAUUCAUUAAUGUAUGGAAUACAUAAUAUGCUAUGUCAGAGUGUAUUAGUAAAUGACUGGAAGACACUUGUAUAGUUCUUUUUCAUGUUAUACACAUUGGUUAGACUGUAUUGCUUGGAAAAUGCAGAUGGUUAUACGAAGUCUGACCUGACCUGAGUGAACGGUCCUUCCCAUUUUCCAGUUGCAUUCUAUUUAGUCCUCAGGAUGAUGUGUUCAUUUUCUACAGGUCUGUAGAAGCCGAUUCCCGUCAAGACAAACUGUAACCAUGUCAUUGAGUAUUGUCUCCAUUUAUGUUAACAGGCUCUUAUUGCACAUUAAAUGGAUAUAGAAUAGUGAGAGAGCUGAAGAAUGAGAGAAGAUUCAUAAGCAUCCAUUGAACUACAACGUUACCUGUGUCCAGCCUGGUCUGAACCCCAGAGGACUCGGAUAGUACCUCCCAGUAUGUCCAGUCGGACUCCGUCCCAGCCACUGUAGCAGUGAACUGCAAACCUGUGAGGACAAGAUGGAACAGUAGACAGACUUGACUAUCACAACAUGGAUGGAUUGUUUCACAAAACAUUUCAUCAGUAAAGGACCCCACCGCCAUCACCAAAUUACAAAUCCUAAAUCAGAAUAGAGGGAGGGUUGGGUCUAUAAAUGCUAAAUCAGAAUAGAGGGAUGGUUGGAUCUAUAAAUGCUAAAUCAGAAUUGAAAGAUGGUUGGAUCUAUAAAUGCUAAAUCAGAAUAGAGGGAG